ensembl:lncRNA
GUGAGACUCGCUUAUGUAUUUCUUUAAUUAUCAGAUGGUGUUGUUGACCUGUUGUUGGUUACUACAAUCUUACUGGUAUUUUCCAGAGGUCUUGAUUUUCUUUCCCACGUUAACGCCUAAAUCAGUGUCCUUUCCCCUCGCUCCACCAUGAGACGGCACUGCUGAAGCCUGAGAGGUCUGUGCGCGGCAGGAGGCGGCGUGGCGCCCGGUCUCAGAGGCAGUGAUUGGCGGAGGGAGCUGUAGGUCAGAGCUGUUCACCAAUCAGAGGCCGCCAGACGCCUCACUUUCCCCCGACAACUCUCCAUCAUCUUCACUAUUAUUAUUAUUUUUUUUUUUACUUCAACUGCACUAAUAUUAUGCCGUUGUCAUGUCAACCGUUGUCAUGGCAACCACUAUGAAAAAACACAUAGGAGAGAUCUAGCCUGAUCAGUUAAUUUAUAAAAAUGUGUAAAAACUAACUGAAGUUUUGCGGAUAUUUUUUCUCUUAGGUCUAGUUCACAAAGUAAUGGUUGCUUAACAUUUUGAUCGGAGAUCUGUUAAUUAUGGUUAAAAAAAAACAUGAACUUUCUCUUCUCAUCAGUGUAUAACUGAGUCAGGUUGAAGCCCAACUACUUGAACGAUGCUCUCUGUUGAACGUGUGUCUGUACGUGUGUCUGUACGUGUGUGUGUGUGUGUGUGUGUGUGUCUUUGUGUCUGUUGGACAACAGUGCUGCUGCUGCUGAGCCCUUCACUGUCCGACCGUUAGUGGAAGUUAUUUUCAUUCUAGGAAAUGAGGCCCUAUGUGUUAUUUCGAUAAAGGGUUCUCUGCAGAGAGACACAGUGGUUCUAAUGCAAGGAAAUGUUUUGAAGGGUUUUCGGAAGGUGCUGGAAGAGAAUAUAAAAAGAGUUUUUUUCUGUCACAGUAAAGAAUAUCCUCUAUAUAGGACAAGCCAAGGAAAUAAUGUUCUCCUUAUCAGGUUUAUGAAUGCGUUUACAUCAGCCAUUUCCAUCAUGAUUCCAUGUGAGAUUCUUCCUUGUGAUUUGUACAUCACCAAUAAUUCUCUGAACUGAGAAAUCAUUAACUUAAAGUUUAUUUACCACCUUUGACUCAUGAAAUGCAACCCGUCAGGAAACCCUGGCAGGUCACUGAGUGAAUCUGACGACCUCCAUUUAUUAAUAUUUUUAAGGUCCACGAUGAAUGUGGAACAAUCCAGAAAAACUUUUGAGCAUCAAUUGUCGCUUUUUAGCAGCCCACUUGCAUUUCACAUGCUGUCAUUUGUCACUGUGAAUAAUUACACCAAGCUGUGGUGUGAUGGACCAUACACACACCCAAAUGUUCACUCCUCGGCGGGGAGAUAAAUGUCUGGAAAAAGGGUAUUUCAGUCUAAAAUUAAAUAUCUGCAGGAAACCUAAUUUCAUAUAAAGUACCGUAUGUGAUUUGGUUGGUUGGAUGAAUGAAUGAAUGGCUGGAUGAAUUCAACCCAGUGAGCGAGAACGUCUGAUGUAGAUCUGUUGAGUCUGUGUGUUACUGUGGAUAUUUGAGAAAUAUCUUCCCUCUGUCUCUUCAUGUCACUGUUUGAGCUCUCCUCCACACACUGCCCUGCCCAAAAGUACUGGCAUCUCUUGCUGUAUUUAAAGAUAAAAAAGAAAAAGAAAGUGAAAAAGAAAGCAGAUUAUGCAAUUUCUACACUUGGAGAUUUGUAUAUAUGUACAGUUAAUGUGUUUUAUUUUGAUUUUAUAUUGUUAGAGAAAGAGACGAGAGAGAAAACAAUGAAUUGUGAAUUUUUCUGGAAAUUGUAAUUAAGUAUUUUUCUCAUUCUACCCCUUGCUUUCAAUACUUAUGUUUAAAAAGACAAUUAAAUUGUGGACUGUAGCUUUCUUUUUAUAUGGGAGUCUUUUUUAUUUAAUAUUAAACUAUUUACAGAAAAUG